CUUGAGCUUAGUACGGAGCUUAGUGUGAAUAGCCGAACAAUAAUUGUAUUGUUGUUAAUAAUGCGAUUAUUAGAAACAAAUGUUUUAUAAUCAGCAAGAUGCUCAGAAAAUUUCGCGUUGAUUUUUCUGUCUCUGAGAUAGUCAGUGAGUAUCGAAUAACACAAAUAUUUUAUACGGCGUACUAUCAUUAGUAGAAAAAUAGAACAAAAGCCAUACAAUUGAAGAAAAACCUCUGGAACGCCGUGAAGAACUUGAGCGCACAUCCACACAACACAAGCAUACAUACAUAUGUAUGCUUGUAGAUCUCGGGGUUUUGUGGGAAGCUAUGCAGCGCGAAAGAGAUGGACACAAGUGCGCAAUGAAAUGAGUGACAGCGAGGCACACUCUUCACAUUGGUACACACAUAAGUAAUUGGGCCGUAAGGAAUUCAUAUAACAACAUAUAUUAAGAAAAGCAUCAUCAAUGACGGUAGUUGUGCAUAUAGAGCACGAUUUAUCAAUCAUAU